UACGUAGGGGCCAAGCGUUGUCCGGAUUUAUUGGGCGUAAAGAGCUCGUAGGUGGUUCGGCAAGUCAGCUGUGAAAUCUCCACGCUCAACGUGGAGGGGUCAGCUGAUACUGCUGAGACUUGAGUCCGGUAGGGGAGUGUGGAAUUCCUGGUGUAGCGGUGAAAUGCGCAGAUAUCAGGAGGAACACCAAUGGCGAAGGCAGCACUCUGGGACGGUACUGACGCUGAGACGCGAAAGCGUGGGGAGCAAACAGG
rnacentral:rRNA from 1 species